rnacentral:lncRNA from 7 species
AUAGCAACGGCAGAAACUCAGUUCUGCUCGCGGAUCUCCAGGCAGUCGCCAGACACCCUGACUUCCCUAAUAGCUUGCAUGGAAAUAAAUAGGAGGCGUUACAUUUGGAGCAACCUCCGCACUUCAUAUCAAAUUCAAAAUGAGAGUCUCUGCAGCAGCUGCAUUCAGUGGGAGCCUCACGUCGCCUCCAGCACACGCCUGCACCACGUCAUGAGCAGAAAGCACUACUCAGUAUGCCCACACUGGGCUGUACGAAGCAGCUCAACAAGGAGGAAAGGGCAACUGCAGCCCAGGCCAGGCAGCACCGAGGGGUAAAAUCCCAGCACGGCACAACCUGAAGGCAGCUCAUCUUUCACUGCUCACCUCAGCUUCCCACUCACACAAACAGCAAUAGCUACGUUUGUAAAGCUAUACAAUAAAGAGCUUUGUCU